UACGUAGGGGGGCAAGCGUUGUCCGGAAUCAUUGGGCGUAAAGCGCGCGUAGGCGGCCCUGUAAGUCCGCUGUGAAAGUCAAAGGCUCAACCUUUGAAAGCCGGUGGAUACUGCAGGGCUAGAGUCCGGAAGAGGCGAGUGGAAUUCCUGGUGUAGCGGUGGAAUGCGCAGAUAUCAGGAGGAACACCAAUAGCGAAGGCAGCUCGCUGGGACGGUACUGACGCUAAGGCGCGAAAAGCGUGGGGAGCGAACAGG
rnacentral:rRNA from 1 species